rnacentral:rRNA from 1 species
CCUACGGGCGGCAGCAGUGAGGAAUAUUGGUCAAUGGACGAGAGUCUGAACCAGCCAAGUAGCGUGAAGGAUGACUGCUCUAUGGGUUGUAAACUUCUUUUAUAAAGGAAUAAAACGAGGCACGUGUGCCUCUUUGCAUGUACUUUAUGAAUAAGGAUCGGCUAACUCCGUGCCAGCAGCAGCGGUAAUACGGCGGAUCCGAGCGUUAUCCGGAUUUAUUGGGUUUAAGGGGAGCGUAGAUGGGUUGUUAAGUCAGUUGUGAAAGUUUGCGGCUCAACCGUAAAAUGGCAAUUGAUACUGGCAGUCUUGAGUACAGGUGAGGUAAGCGGAAUUCGUGGUGUAGCGGUGAAAUGCGUAGAUAUCACGAAGAACACCGAUUGCGAAGGCAGGUUACUAAACUGUAACUGACAUUGAGGCUCGAAAGUGUGGGGAUCAAACAGGAUUAGAUACCCCAGUAGUC